AAGUCGUAACAAGGUUUCCGUAGGUGAACCUGCGGAAGGAUCAUUACUGAGGUUUUAAUUUGCUGGCGCAAGCUGGGAAAGGACCCGACCUAUUGUCAUUUGCACGUUGAGGAGGAACGGUAGUUGUGUGGCGUUGUGUGGGUUGUGAGGGAUGUACCCGAGAGGGUGGAUCCGGAACGGCCCGUGGAUGCGCUGGCGCUGCCGCCUCGACGAAGGUGAACUUCGGCGGAAGAGGCAGACUGGAUCUGCCCGCCGCCGGCCGUAACUAUUUCCACUCUAGAAGGAGAAUCUGAAGCCUGAUGUACAAAAACGAAAUGAAAAGCAAAACUUUCAACAACGGAUCUCUUGGCUCUGGCAACGAUGAAGAACGCAGCGAAACGCGAAAGGUAAUGCGAAUUGCAGAAUCAGUGAGUCAUCGAAUCUUUGAACGCACAUUGCGCCUCUCGGUAUUCCGGGAGGCACGCCUGUUCGAGCGCCAUUACACACCCCAAGCGUGGCUUGAUGUUGGACGCUGUCUGUUACAGGACAGGUCUGGAACGGGUGGGCGCCGUCGCCGGACCACGAGCGUAGCAAGACGCAAGUCAUCGCUCUGUGGACUCUGGUGGACGGUGGUCGUGAUGGCGGGUAACACCGACAUGGAACUUUACAAGUUUGGCCUCGGAUCAGGCGGGGAUACCCGCUGAACUUAAGCAUAUCAUAAGCGGAGGAAAAGAAACCAACAGGGAUUGCCCCAGUAACGGCGAGUGAAGCGGCAACAGCUCAAAUUUGAAAUCUGGCGUCGUUGUGGCGUCCGAGUUGUAAUUUGCAGAGGGAGUCUCGGAGGGCGGGUCGGUCCAAGUGCCUUGGAACAGGAUACCAAAGAGGGUGAGAGUCCCGUAUCCGGCCGAUGCUGCGCUCCGUGUGAGACCCCUUCGACGAGUCGAGUUGUUUGGGAAUGCAGCUCUAAGCGGGUGGUAAAUUCCAUCUAAAGCUAAAUACCGGCCAGAGACCGAUAGCGAACAAGUAGAGUGAUCGAAAGAUGAAAGGCACUUUGAAAAGAGAGUCAAACAGUACGUGAAAUUGUUGAAAGGGAAGCGCAUGGGGGCAGACUUGGACGCGGGGUUCAGGACGUCGUUUGACGUGUGUACUUCCCCGCGGACAGGCCAGCAUCGGUUUCGGGGGCCGGAUAAAGACGAGAGGAAUGUGGCUCUCCUCGGAGAGUGUUAUAGCCUGACGUGCAAUGCGGCCACCUGGGACCGAGGACCGCGCUUCGGCAAGGAUGCUGGCGUAAUGGCCUCAUGCGGC
rnacentral:rRNA from 1 species